ACGUUCCAGAUUGUGGUCAUGUGACCCAGGUGACACCCCACUUCUACUUCGGUCAGGUCAGCUGACGGAUCGUAUGACGCAGGCGCAACAGGUAACAGGUAUGACGCCCUGUAUGACACCCCCACUCCCACCCUUUGCUGGUUAGAGACGCUACUUAAUGGAGAGUCAGCUGUCUAAUCGGAUGACACAUGCGCAACAGCUCACAGCAACUUCAGCAGCUGACGAGAUGCAGCAGAAGAGAGACUGGAGGGAAUAAACAGCGAUAAGUGGAGUUUCCUGUGAUUUAAAAGGUCUGAACUCACACUCAAACAAACCAAAAGGAAAAUAAACAAAGAAGCAAAGAAACAAAGAAGCAAACAAUCCAACACACGUGGCCGCUGUGUGCUAGCAGCUAGCUGCUAUGCUAAUGCCCGUAUAGUUGCUACGGUCAAGGCUAAUAAACCAACAACCCAGCGGUACAUUCAGGUGAGAUACAUCAAACAUUUAAACAGCAGAGAUCAGUGGGGAAAGAACAUAGCGUUUAAUUAGUGUUUUAUGGAUUUAGUAUUGGUUUUCCUACUGUUAUUGUCAGAGGUAAUCAACAACACCUGUGCAUGCGCACUUCGGGUUACAGGCUCUGAUGAUGUACACACUAUGAUCCUCCAUUAGUUUUCUCCUCCUUUAACCUGCUUCUAGAGGUAUUACAGAUGUGUGUGAUAUAUAUUUAGCUGUAGUUGUAUUUGUUGUGCAGGUGCAUUUAAUUCAUGAUGCUCCUAUUUCCUUUCAUGCCUCACAUUCAGAGGUUGAUCAUAUUUAAUCAUCAUUCAUCCACAUCUGAAGUAACUAAAGGGAUUCAAUAAAAGUAUUUAGUUCCUGACUAAAUCUACUUAAUUACUUUACACCACUGCUCAUAUUAAUAGAUGCCUAAAUAUUUCCAUGUUGCCGUUGGACAUGUUUUCAAUAGACUGUACUGACUUCAUGGUGUCUUUUUGUUCUUUACUCCCCACCUGAGUGCAAGGACAUCUGCUGGAGGAGUCCAAGGACAUCUGCUGGAGGAGUCCAAGGACAUCUGCUGGAGGAGUCCAAGGACAUCUGCUGGAGGAGUCCAAGGACAUCUGCUGGAGGAGUCCAAGGACAUCUGCUGGAGGAGUUCAAGGACAUCUGGCAUCAAUGAAGACGUCUUCUUGAGUUUCUGGAAAACUUAAGAGCACAUGUGAUGCAUUCAGCCUCUGCAGCCUCUCUGCAGGACACACCCCGGAAGUAUCAUCGUGCAACACCUGGCAGAGAAGCAGCGUGAUGGCGCCGGUGUGGAAACACUUGUUGGCGUUUUACCUUCACUUCUAACAGCCUGCACAUUGUGCUAUCCCGUCAGCGUUGGUGAGUGCAGAGUUUCUGGACCAAACCUGAGGACAGCCGGGUUUCUUCACAUCAUCCUCGUCCUCUUCUUCCUCCACUCGUGGUAAAAUCAGUAACGUGGUCUGUUGUUCAUCCUGGACAUCGUGAGAGGCAGAGACACUGACGAGAGGGAGGAGACCUCCCAAUAAAGAGACCGGGACAGGAAGAGCUGGUAGAGGAUCACCAUAGAGAUGGUCUGGCAGAGGAUCACACCAAUGAUGGCCGACGUGAGGAAGAGGACGGGAUGGCAGAGGAACCACAGGAAGCAUCCCUAUAGAGGACACAAGGAUCACCACCUGAUACACACUGGUGUGUCUUGAGGGUACAUUAGUUAACUGUGUGUUUAUAUAUUUUACCUUGGCGAAGCAGAGGUAGAAGUCUCUCUUCAGGGUGCUCCUCUCGUUGGAGAUGAUCUGGUAGAGGACGGAGGCCAGCAGGAGGGCCAGGCCGACCCUCAGAGCCAUGAGCAGGAGAGCGGCUACACUCUGCUGGACGUGGAAGCUGUGAUGUGGACCCUCUGUUUCAGAAAACUGCUCCCACAGCAGCAAGCCUCCCUGAACACGACACAGUUUAAUACUCAAUGAAUAAAAAAUGUUCAGAAUAUCGGCGUUAAACACAAUGAAUAGACAUGAUUUAGAAGGUGUAUAUAGUAAUAGCGUUUGAUUAUAAUCCUGCGUACCUGUAUGACGACUCCUCCGACAGCGACGGCCGUGGACCUCGGGGUUUGUUCCCACUGCAGCGGUCCGGACUGAGGCUUCCUGCCGCGGCUCAGAGUCCAGCCCACACACAGACUCAGCAACAUGUACAGCAUGGACACCUGGGACACCAUAUCCCAGACUGCAGCGGGAACAGGGAGUGGAAAACAAGAGGGCACACAACUUCAAAUUGAAAUCAACCCACAGAAGCAUUUAGGAAUACAUAUUUAAGAGAGGGGAUCAUACACUCUGCUAGGAUGCCCAUCAGGUGAAGACCAACACCAUCUCUGGAGUACCUGCAGAACACAAGGGGAGGAAUCAGUAUAUGAAUUAAAUGCAUAACAAAGACUCUGUUAAUGAAAAAUGCAAGGCUUCUUUCUUAAAGGAAUUUGUGGAAAUAAAUACAAACAUUAUUAUUAUUAUAAGAGGAGACAUUUUUAGUCUUGUUGCAUUAUUGCUAUCCAAAAAAGACCGACUUAAGAUGUGUGAAUGUUCCGAUAAUGUGCAAGAUAAUUAAAAGAUAAGAACAACCUUUAUUUGCUGCACAACUGAUUGUAAAUUUGACCGAAUUUCUCAUUUUGUUGCUUUUUUCUUACAAAAUACUGGACUUUUUUCAUCUGUGGGACUAAAAAUAAAUGAAUUAAAAGGAA